rnacentral:tRNA from 1 species
GCCGCAUUAGCUCAAUGGAUAGAGCGACAGACUUCUAAUCUGUAGGCUAGGGGUUCGAGUCCCUUAUGCGGCA